rnacentral:rRNA from 1 species
UGGGGAAUAUUGCACAAUGGGGGAAACCAUGAUGCAGCGACGCCGCGUGAGCGAAGAAGGUUUUCGAAUCGUAAAGCUCUGUCCUAUGAGAAGAUAAUGACGGUAUCAUAGGAGGAAGCCCCGGCUAAAUACGUGCCAGCAGCCGCGGUAAUACGCAUGGGGCGAGCGUUGUCCGGAAUUAUUGGGCGUAAAGGGUACGUAGGCGGUCUAUUAAGUCAGGUGUGAAAGCGUGAGGCUUAACCUCAUUAAGCACUUGAAACUGAUAGACUUGAGUGAAGGAGAGGAAAGUGGAAGUCCUAGUGUAGCGGUGAAAUGCGUAGAUAUUAGGAGGAAUACCGGUGGCGAAGGCAACUUUCUGGACUAUUACUGAAGCUCAGGUACGAAAGCGUGGGGAGCAAACAGG